GACGAACCGUACGAACGUUAUUCGGAAUUACUGGGCUUAAAGGGUGCGUAGGCUGCGCAGUAAGUUGGGUGUGAAAUCCCUCGGCUUAACCGAGGAACUGCGCCCAAAACUACUGUGCUCGAGGGAGACAGAGGUGAGCGGAACUUAGGGUGGAGCGGUGAAAUGCGUUGAUAUCCUAAGGAACACCUGUGGCGAAAGCGGCUCACUGGGUCUCUUCUGACGCUGAGGCACGAAAGCUAGGGUAGCGAACGGG
rnacentral:rRNA from 1 species